GCGGAUGUGGCGGAAUUGGCAGACGUGCAAGAUUCAGGUUCUUGUGAGGGCAACUUCGUGCAGGUUCAAGUCCUGUCAUCCGCACCA
rnacentral:tRNA from 1 species